GACGUAGGGAGCGAGCGUUGUCCGGAUUCAUUGGGCGUAAAGAGCGCGCAGGCGGUUUGGUAAGUCGGAUGUGAAAACCCGGGGCUCAACCCCGGGCGUGCAUCUCGAUACUGCCCGACUAGAGGUAGGUAGGGGAGAUCGGAAUUCCCGGUGUAGCGGUGAAAUGCGCAGAUAUCAGGAGGAACACCGGUGGCGAAGGCGGAUCUUUGGGCCUUACCUGACGCUCAGGCGCGAAAGCUAGGGGAGCGAACAGG
rnacentral:rRNA from 1 species